rnacentral:rRNA from 1 species
AUACGUAGGGGGCAAGCGUUGUCCGGAAUCAUUGGGCGUAAAGGGCGCGUAGGCGGCUAGUCAAGUCUGAUGUGAAAGUGCGGAGCUUAACUCCGUAAAGCAUUGGAAACUGGUUGGCUUGAGGACAGGAGAGGAAAGUGGAAUUCCACGUGUAGCGGUGAAAUGCGUAGAGAUGUGGAGGAACACCAGUGGCGAAGGCGACUUUCUGGACUGUAACUGACGCUGAGGCGCGAAAGCGUGGGGAGCGAACAGGAUUAGAUACCCUGGUAGUCCACGCCGUAAACGAUGUGCACUAGGAGGUGGGUAGCAGUAUUCACUUCCGUAGCUAACGCGAUAAGUGCACCGCCUGGGGUGUAUGCUCGCAAGGGUGAA